rnacentral:rRNA from 1 species
AUGAGGCGAACCGGGGGAACUGAAACAUCUAAGUACCCCGAGGAAAAGAAAUCAACCGAGAUUCCCCCAGUAGCGGCGAGCGAACGGGGAGGAGCCCAGAGCCUGAAUCAGUGUGUGUGUUAGUGGAAGCGUCUGGAAAGGCGCGCGAUACAGGGUGACAGCCCCGUACACAAAAAUGCACAUGCUGUGAGCUCGAUGAGUAGGGCGGGACACGUGGUAUCCUGUCUGAAUAUGGGGGGACCAUCCUCCAAGGCUAAAUACUCCUGACUGACCGAUAGUGAACCAGUACCGUGAGGGAAAGGCGAAAAGAACCCCGGCGAGGGGAGUGAAAAAGAACCUGAAACCGUGUACGUACAAGCAGUGGGAGCACGCUUAGGCGUGUGACUGCGUACCUUUUGUAUAAUGGGUCAGCGACUUAUAUUCUGUAGCAAGGUUAACCGAAUAGGGGAGCCGAAGGGAAACCGAGUCUUAACUGGGCGUUAAGUUGCAGGGUAUAGACCCGAAACCCGGUGAUCUAGCCAUGGGCAGGUUGAAGGUUGGGUAACACUAACUGGAGGACCGAACCGACUAAUGUUGAAAAAUUAGCGGAUGACUUGUGGCUGGGGGUGAAAGGCCAAUCAAACCGGGAGAUAGCUGGUUCUCCCCGAAAGCUAUUUAGGUAGCGCCUCGUGAAUUCAUCUCCGGGGGUAGAGCACUGUUUCGGCAAGGGGGUCAUCCCGACUUACCAACCCGAUGCAAACUGCGAAUACCGGAGAAUGUUAUCACGGGAGACACACGGCGGGUGCUAACGUCCGUCGUGAAGAGGGAAACAACCCAGACCGCCAGCUAAGGUCCCAAAGUCAUGGUUAAGUGGGAAACGAUGUGGGAAGGCCCAGACAGCCAGGAUGUUGGCUUAGAAGCAGCCAUCAUUUAAAGAAAGCGUAAUAGCUCACUGGUCGAGUCGGCCUGCGCGGAAGAUGUAACGGGGCUAAACCAUG